GAAAGCAAGAAGCUUGAACAGUACAGAGAUUAAAGAAAAAGACCAUUUGUAACUCAUCAGGACUUCUGACACAUAACUUAUCAGCUGGAAAAAACUAUGAAGAAGGAAGAGAGAGAAACUUGACACAAUAAGGAAGACAAGAUGGAAUUAAAAUAAUGAGACCAUCUAAGAGGAAUCUAGAUAGAGUUUCCAAGAUUCUAGAGAUUGGACAAAAAAAAGUGAAAAUAUUCCAGAAAGAGACCAUACUUCCUGAGAAGACAAGAAAACUUUUUGUGAGUAAAGAUAGAAUAAAUCCUAUGGCCUGUAUACAAUCACAGAAGUGGAGGCACUCAAAAUACUGUCAAGUUGGCGGAAGUGAAAAUAUUUCCUUGGGAAGUGAUCACCAUCUUCAAGGAGUGAAUGAAAAGAUAUCCGUGAACAAGUUCAUAUCUGAGAAGAAAAGACAAUUACUGAUCUUCUUCUGGGUGAAGUAGAUCUGAUUGUAUUUUUAGCAACAAAAAAAGUCCUUUGUAAUUAACACAAGAUCCUUUCAUCUCCAUCUUCUCCAAUGAAAUUUGAACAACUCAAAAGACAACCCCAAGAUAACUCCUGACUCUUUCUCACGUCUGUCCAUGUCUUUUGUUAUCAACACCAAAGGGGCACAACAAAAAAUCCUAGACAUUUCUGCCUAUCCCCCUACGGGCUUCGGCUUCUGCACCAAGAAACUAAACGAUGAAACGAAAUCAACACAAAUACUUUGACUAAUUCAAGCACAAGUCACACAAUAAAGAACAAUAAAUAACAUCA
rnacentral:lncRNA from 1 species